CUCAGCCUAAAGAGAAAGGUCCCACCGAGAUUCGAACUCGGAUCGCUGGAUUCAGAGUCCAGAGUGCUCACCAUUACACCAUGGAACCGCCAGCGGCCCUGUAUUCCCGCCGCUGAGCCAGGCCUGGCGCAGCCGCGCCGGCCCAGGACCCGCCUCCCGCCCGGCGCUCUCAUCACCCCGCCCCGAGCAGCUUCCUCCACAACGCCAGGGGGCGCCUGCCUCGCCGGCCCGCAGCCGUCCCUUCAGGUUUGGACUUCGUGGAAUGAGACGAAACCUAUUCGAGGGGAACAACAGGGAAGGGCUUUUUGGGCCUCCUCUGCCGGCAUUUCUAGAGUUUUCUAUCCAGAAGUAAAAUUCUCGCCAGAAAAAAAGUUCCUUUUCUUUUUGCAGUUGUCCUCUUCCCGCUGCCCUAGGAGCGCUAAACAUCCCCAGAAGAGCCCUUCGGACUUCGUGGGAUGUCCGCUUCCUGGGACCCCAGGUCCAAGGGUAGUAAAAUCGGGGGGCACUGCCAGCUUCGUUCGGGGACAGAACGUCCUCUCUGUGUUGGGAACCCGAUCGAAGCCAAAGCGACAGCGGCCCCGCACAUCUCACCGCGAGCACCCACGCCGCUGGCGCCCAGUGGGGUGUGGUCGGAUACACAGGCGGGCAGCUGCUGAAACUCAGUAGUUCCUGGAUCUUCACUAUUUGGCCCCAGGAUGGUUUCUCCCCGCCCUCAUCAGGUGCAACUGGUCUCUGCACUAUCUGCAGCCCUGCAACUACCCUGACCUGCAUGAUUCCACACCGAUUCCAGAGAACUACCAGGCUGCAGAGGCUGAAGGCACAGGCAUGGGACUUACCACGGUCAGUCUCCAGGUUGGUGCACAUCAACAGCUAGUAUUAAGUAUGCCCUUACAGGAUGCCAUCAACACUUUGAUUUGAGGUGUUGCAUCCUUACAUUUUUUAAAAAUUAAUGACAUUACUUUUCAGGACAGCUUUAGGUUUACAGGUAAAUUGAGCACAUAGUAGAGAGUUUUCACACAUACUCUGUUGUUCCUAACCCAAUUUCUUGCAUUAGUGUCAUGGCGGGG
rnacentral:tRNA from 1 species